UACGUAGGGAGCAAGCGUUGUCCGGAAUCAUUGGGCGUAAAGCGCGUGUAGGCGGCUUGGUAAGUCUGCUCUGAAAGCCCGGGGCUCAACCCCGGGAGGCGGGUGGAUACUGCUGAGCUCGAGUCCGGAAGAGGCGAGUGGAAUUCACGGUGUAGCAGUGAAAUGCGUAGAUAUCGUGAGGAAGACCAGUGGCGAAGGCGGGUCUCUGGACAGUUCCUGACGCUGAGGCGCGAAGGCCAGGGGAGCAAACGGG
rnacentral:rRNA from 1 species